rnacentral:other from 1 species
CAUCCCCUGCGUGGUUUGUGAUGAGUCGACACGUCCUAGAGCCUACCCCAAAGUCUAGGGAGCCUCGCUUCCGCGAGCCCGAGCCAGCCCCGCCCGACGGGGACGCUGACGGCCCGUAGAGAGGGCACCCACCUGGUACAAGCCCGGUUCUAGACUUCCGACUCACACGGCCAACGCGGGGGGUGC